GACCUGCCCUCUCUGCGUACGUCCUUUCGCUUCUUCCGUGCUGAAGAGGUUUACAACCCGAAGGCCGUCAUCCCUCACGCGGCGUCGCUGCAUCAGGCUUUCGCCCAUUGUGCAAUAUUCCCCACUGCUGCCUCCCGUAGGGGGGCGGGGGCGGCGGGCCGGGCGCGGGGCGCGGCGGGCGACGCGGGGCGCGGCGGGCGACUUGUAUUUAACUUUUCGAGAAAAGGAAGGGGGGGUCAGGAAAAAAAGCCAACCAUACGUGCCGCACCGAAUAAUUGUCG
rnacentral:rRNA from 1 species